GUAGGGGCCAAACGUUUGUCCGGAUUUAUUGGGCGUAAAGGGCUCGUAGGCGGUUCAACAAGUCGGUCGUGAAAGCCCGGGGCUCAACCCCGGGACGCCGGUCGAAACUGUUGUGACUAGGGUCCGGUAGAGGUGAGUGGAAUUCUCGGUGUAGCGGUGGAAUGCGCAGAUAUCGAGAGGAACACGUGUAGCGAAGGCGGCUCACUGGGCCGGUACCGACGCUGAGGAGCGAAAGCGUGGGGAGCAAACAGGAUUAGAUACCCUGGUAGUCCACGCCGUAAACUGUGAACACUAGGUGUGGCGGAUCAUUGAUGUCUGCCGUACCGUAGCUAACGCGUUAAGUGUUCCGCCUGGGGAGUACGGCCGCAAGGCUA
rnacentral:rRNA from 1 species